CUCUCUCUUCCUCCCUCCAACCAUAUCCUUCUCUAUAUAAUCCUCUGGUAUCCCUCCCCUCCCUAAUCGCUCCAAACACACAAAAACUUCUUUGUUCUCAGGUCACAAACAUGAUGAAAUCUUCACUCUUUGGUUGCUUCUUUCUCCUCUUUGUUUCUCUAAAUUUCUUCUCUGAGGAUCUCGGGAUCUUCGUACAUGCCGGGUCAUCCUUUUCUUUCUCCUCCUCGGGCGAAGGGCGCCAGUCUCAACUAUACGUUCAAUCACCUUCUUUCCACAGGAAGUUUAAGCGCUUCUACAGAUCAAAGGUUGUGGUUGAAGAAGCAAAGGGAUCGGAUGCCCUUGUGAGUACUUUGAAGCCCGAAUUCUCAAGAGGAAGCGGCAUCAAAAAUUUUGAUGAUUUAGUGUAUCAUACCGACUACCAUGGAGUCGUUACUCAUCCGCCUACCCCAAAGCACCCAAACCAUGAUUAAAAGGCGUUGUGAGGCAGAAGUUUUCUGCUGUUGACACGGUAGAGAUACAGUUUCAGAGAUCUUAUAGAAAGGAAAAUUCCAGUCUUUAGUUCUCUAUGCUUGGUGGGGUUGGCUAUAUACAUCUUUGAAAUUGCAGAUCGAAAUAUGUGUUUCACUUUGAGUUUCUACUAUCUGUAAAAGAAAUUCGUACUUAUUAAUAGGGACAUAUAUAUACGUAUCGACCUAUCACACA